GGGAAGGAAGGAAGACGGUUAACCCGCCGCACCGGGCGGCCCAUCCUCAGCGAAAGCCCGGAGACAAGCCCAUCCCCUCCCGGCAGGUGUUGACAAACUUAAUAGUGCCAUUUUGCCGAAGAAAAAGCUGAGUCUCUCCCAAUAUGUAGAAGACUCCCCGUGUGUGAAGUCCACAGCAGAGGAAGGCGGGCCAAUCCACUUUAAUUACACGAGUCUUAACGGAUACACCGAAUCACGCUCUAUCAAAAUAUCCUGCUGGAGAAGUUGACCAAUUACAUGCAAAUACACGGGAAGCUGACGGACGCGCGUGGGCCCCGGCGGAGCCAGGACCCGCGGGAAGCCCCCACCACACCAGGCCUCGGCUCCCCGACGCCUCUCGGCCUCCUUCUCCUGCCCUCACUCAUCUUCUGGAAAGGAAACCCGGGUGCAGCUGAGAAGCCUGCCUCUCCGCCUGGGCGGCAGCA